UGGUGCGGAAGACUUAUUCAUGCUGUGCAUUUUUUUUGUAUAGUCUGCCUGUGGUGUGUUUAAGGGAUGGUAGUGAGGCUUUUGUAUGCUUGGCAAUGUUAGGUGGUUAGUUUAUGAUAGCUAGCUUCAAUUUGGUCAUUUGCCACUAAAACAGAUUUCAAUAUUCUCCCCUCAUGUAUCUCAAUCCUUUAUAUCUAAUCCUAGCAAACAUGCUUACCCUAAUUUCCAAACCCUUAACCUACUUUUUUGGCUCCAAACUAUCCAGACCGUUAGAUCAUUGUAAUUAGGGGAGGUUAGCACAUGAGCCAUUGAUCAAAUCUCAUUCCUUGAAAAUUGAUACACGCGCAUAGGAAAACAAAACAGCUGCUGAUAACAAAACACAACACACGCGUUUUCUCUUUCCCAAAACAAGCACGCCUUUCUUCUUCUUCCUCUUAUCAUCGUCACCACCGCCAACCCUCUCCGCCCCAUCCAUAGGAAACCAAGCAUCUCACCAUCUCCUCUUCACACUCCACCCAAACAGACUCCUUUGAUUCUAACCAUGAAAGAAGCAAGUAUGAGUAAUAGUGAGUGUAGCAGUAUGUUUCAAUCACAUUUAAGUAGGUUUACUUUAUAUUUAUAACUCUGUCAUGCUUCCAAAACAUUUUAAAUUUUACUUUUCAUCAUUCAAAUUGUUUGAAGUCUAUAGUCUAUCUGACAUGACAUGAGAGAUAAAUUUAUUUGUGAAAUUGUCUCCACUCUUUUUACAUUCUUCAAUGAACUCUUUAACAAGUUACUUGCCAAUUAUGUUUCAAUUUGUAGCAGAUGUUAUUGGAAGUUUAUGCGUCGUUCAAAACCACUUAUGUAAAAUACAUGGUGGUGAAUCCGUUGGUAGAUUUGAAGGGCAUAUUACUAAGGUGGGUUGCGUGGGGCUGGGAGCUUUUUCCUGCUACUGUUUUGCUGCAGAUUGAUAAGUAUCUCAUCGAGGCUUGGUGCGGAAGACUUAUUCAUGCUGUGCAUUUUUUUGUAUAGUCUGCCUGUGGUGUGUUUAAGGGAUGGUAGUGAGGCUUUUGUAUGCUUGGCAAUGUUAGGUGGUUAGUUUAUGAUAGCUAGCUUCAAUUUGGUCAUUUGCCACUAAAACAGAUUUCAAUAUUCUCCCCUCAUGUAUCUCAAUCCUUUAUAUCUAAUCCUAGCAAACAUGCUUACCCUAAUUUCCAAACCCUUAACCUACUUUUUUGGCUCCAAACUAUCCAGACCGUUAGAUCAUUGUAAUUAGGGGAGGUUAGCACAUGAGCCAUUGAUCAAAUCUCAUUCCUUGAAAAUUGAUACAUGCGCAUAGGAAAACAAAACAGCUGCUGAUAACAAAACACAACACACGCGUUUUCUCUUUCCCAAAACAAGCACGCCUUUCUUCUUCUUCCUCUUAUCAUCGUCACCACCGCCAACCCUCUCCGCCCCAUCCAUAGGAAACCAAGCAUCUCACCAUCUCCUCUUCACACUCCACCCAAACAGACUCCUUUGAUUCUAACCAUGAAAGAAGCAAGUAUGAGUAAUAGUGAGUGUAGCAGUAUGUUUCAAUCACAUUUAAAUGUUAUUGGAAGUUUAUGCGUCGUUCAAAACCACUUAUGUAAAAUACAUGGUGGUGAAUCCGUUGGUAGAUUUGAAGGGCAUAUUACUAAGGUGGGUUGCGUGGGGCUGGGAGCUUUUUCCUGCUACUGUUUUGCUGCAGAUUGAUAAGUAUCUCAUCGAGGCUUGGUGCGGAAGACUUAUUCAUGCUGUGCAUUUUUUUUGUAUAGUCUGCCUGUGGUGCGUUUAAGGGAUGGUAGUGAGGCUUUUGUAUGCUUGGCAAUGUUAGGUGGUUAGUUUAUGAUAGCUAGCUUCAAUUUGGUCAUUUGCCACUAAAACAGAUUUCAAUAUUCUCCCCUCAUGUAUCUCAAUCCU